rnacentral:lncRNA from 1 species
AUUAAUUGUAUGACAUCUGAUCAGGAACCCAGCUGCUGCAAACUAUGCUAUAAACAGGAAGGUCAGAGCGAACAAAUCAAACAUGCCUCUGGUGCUGAACGCUGCAACGGCACGACUGGAAGGGAAAUAGAGCAGAGGCUCAUUUGAAGGGGUAGGGCUGCCGGCAUCCCACUGCCGGUUGCAUUUGCACCGACUCCAUGUGAAUGAUAAAUGAGGAAGUGAAAUAACCACCUGCUGCGAAGCACCUGCCUUGAAGACCACUCAGCAUUCAGCUACAACCAGUGACGAAGAAGGAAGAACGGUGGCUACUAAGCAUAUAUUUGAGGAAGAACAGCCAUUGAUGCAGGGAGUUGUUGCCUGACAUAAGAUCAUGCUCGUGUGCAAAGGUGUAAAGAUGAGGGUGCUCAUCAGUCUUCUUCUGACUCCAUGCUUGGUUUUGGGGGUUAGAACUAUUCGAGAGAGCAUCCCAAUGCAGACCCUACAGUGUUAUAACGACUACGUAUCUCUUACAACUUGCACAUGGAUGGAGUGUUCAGAGGCUCAUGAAUUCCUGAAUGUGACUCUGAAUUUUAACAAGUAUGAAAAGUAAGUGCCUGUCUGGUCUUCUGAAAAUGGUCUAAAGGGGCUUGACUGCUGAACCUAAGAGAUGGAGC